UCAACGCUGGCGGCGUGCCUAACACAUGCAAGUCGAACGAUGAAGUGAGCUUGCUCCACGGACUAGUGGCGAACGGGUGAGUAACACGUGAAUAACCUGCCCUCAAUUUCGGAAUAACCCAGGGAAACCUGGGCUAAUACCGGAUACGUAAACCUGUGGCAUCACAUGGUUUUGGAAAGUUUUUCGAUUGAGGAUGGAUUCGCGGCCUAUCAGCUUGUUGGUGAGGUAAUGGCUCACCAAGGCGACGACGGGUAGCCGGCCUGAGAGGGUGAACGGCCACACUGGGACUGAGACACGGCCCAGACUCCUACGGGAGGCAGCAGUGGGGAAUAUUGCGCAAUGGACGAAAGUCUGACGCAGCGACGCCUCGUGAGGGACGAAGGUCUUCGGAUUGUAAACCCCUUUCAGCAGGGACGAAGCGAAAGUGACGGUACCUGCAGAAGAAGCACCGGCUAACUAUGUGCUAGCAGCCACGGUAAUCUGAUG
rnacentral:rRNA from 1 species